GCGGAAAUAGCUCAGUUGGUAGAGCACAACCUUGCCAAGGUUGGGGUCGCGGGUCCGAGUCCCGUUUUCCGCUCCA
rnacentral:tRNA from 18 species